CAGGAGGGGAAGGCUGGACAGGAAAAACCAUUCCCUUUUAUAAAAAGCAUGCAGGUUUUACAGCAAGUACCCUUCGCAUAGCAACCACCACUUAGCAGCCUCCACCUAGCUGAAAACAAUGGGCCUCAGUUCCUUGGACCACCUGCAUUCCAAGGCACACGCCAGGAUCCAGGUGUCCUUCACAGGUAUGGCAUAAACAUCAGGGUUGGCCAUUACUGGAACACUAAACAAACAUUCAUCAAGGAACACAGGAUCAUUCUCAAGCGUUCUAGAACACAACUACUAACUAGCUCGGCCUGGUACCACGGAUUUGUGCUACGGCACCAGGAGAGCAAAAUCAACACAGAAAAAAGCAAGAAAACUCAGAGAAAAAAUAAAACAAAUCUACAAUGAACACAUCAGUAUGUAUAUUUCUACAAACUUGUGUGAGAAGUUCUGUAAGAUCAAGUCCUAAAAGCAGAAUUGCUGGCUCAAAGGUAUUUCUCUCGGAAGUAUUAAGAUUUCAAAAACUGGGCAGAAUGAAUCACAGACAAAUGCUUUCAGAAACUUAGAUGGGGACAUAUAUAAUGUAAGAUGGACUUAACUUACAUGUAGAAUAAAAUGGACUUACAUGUAAAAGCAUUUAGAGUGUCUGGUAUUAUGUGUUAGCUCCUACUAUUAUUGUUAAAUCAUUAUUGUAACUUAUUACUAAGUCAUAAGUUACUAAGUAAAAAGUUACAAUAAUAAUUUUUAAAAUUUUUUCCAGUCCUAUGUGAUCUGAAAAAAUAUAUAUAUACCCAAAUACCGUUUACUUAAACAUGGGAAGGUAGAGGACAAGGAAAGAAGAAAAGCUAAGUAAAAUGUAUUUCCUUGUUCUAAUAGGAGAAGAAGUCACGGAAAAAUGUAAGGUUAAACACGUCAGUUUACAAUUAGGAAUAUCUGCUUUACUUCCUUUAUUGGAGUAACUAAA
rnacentral:lncRNA from 1 species